ACUGUAGCAACUGGUUGCUAAGGGAACGAGACACCACCAUUAUCCUCUUGUUGUGUGACUGAGAGGCGGGAUUGGAAAAGUGCACGAGGAGGGGUGGGAAGCGGAGACUGAGCGUGGUUGAAAUUCCACCAAAUGGAUAAGAGGCAGACAAAGUUUGACACGUUUAUGUUUUCAGUGGUUGGCCGACACGUAUGAACGAGUAAACGCUGCUUUUAGCCUAGUGGAAGUAUCACAAAUGAAUACCUCCGUAUUAUUUAUUCACUGCACUGAAUCUCCACGAGGGCACAAGUCCGCCUGACAAUUUUUGAGUAAAGAGAGGCAGCGCGGGAGAGCUCACUUGUAGCCUGGCAGACAUGCAUGACCAAGGAAGAUAGGCGACAUAAACAGGUAAACAUAGAGAAAUAAGGCGCAAGGUAACAACACCCACCCGUAGCAAGGUAGACAGAGGAAGAGAAUUAACAGUGAGAGGGUAAGAAUUGGAGAGUACGCUCUGUGAUGGAAAUGCCAGAACACAUCUGCUCCGGACCGACGCCUAGUUUGAUGUAAGGAAGUAGCCUCCUCGAUUGCCUCUCCAGUGUGAGGGAGAUGAGGCCAAACCCGGGGCAUUGUAUGUGAUCAGACCUAUUGAAGGGGUUCGUGUAUGGAUAUCACUGGGGUCAGGGCCUGUUCCAGAGGGAGCCGUAUAUCCUCCGCCUCGGGCUCGUCAGAGUCGUGAAAGAAGAAAAAGGUUUCUGCUAGCCUGUGCCGCCAGCAGCGUCACUAUCCCUCUACCUAACACACUGAGUUGACCUCCUCAGUGCUUGUGUGACGGGUGGUGAGGGUGAAGAAGGAGGGAGAGUUUAUCAGUGACCCAACUUCGCCCAAGAUGGAUGAGGAUUUCCUGAGCAGUACCCUGACUGCCUCUGAAUCAGACCUGUCCUCAACCUCUUUUUUGACAUUGGAGGCGAAGGCAGCCUUCAUCUUUGUCCUCAUCCUUUUCCUCGUCUUGGGCCUCCUGAUCAUACGCUGCUUCCGUAUCUUGCUCGACCCUUACCGCAGCAUGCCCUCCUCUACCUGGACUGACUACAUGGAGAAGGACACCUUUGAUUACCGUAUUGCCUGAGGGGCCUUCCUUAUCAAAGGCUGCUGUACUGCAUCGCCUGAGGUGCUGGUGACCAGAGCUGCUGCAUUGCCAAAGAAGCAUCAAAGAUAACUAUCUAAGAGUUUCCACGUGUCCGGAUUCAGCGCAUUGAAACACAUCUUCUGAUUCCUGAGUGUUAUCUUGAGAUACGGGCUGACUAUAGAAUUGCCUGAGGACUCCUACUCUGAGGCAGGAACAAUGGCAGUGGGAGGUUCUUCACCUUGGCCACAAGGGGAUCACAGUGUUUCCUGAGCCCUUAAACAUUUCCAAGAUACUGCAAUGCCAGAGGGGUCCUUCACUGGUGCUACGAGGGAAGCUGUUGUUUUGCCCAAGGGACAGGCUAUUAUAAUAACUGAAAUAGAAAAGCUGUUUUUCUCUUGAAGGAACAGGGAGAGCCUGUCCUCUCCUGCAGCAAGUGAUAUAACUACUCCAGUGACUGAGCACAGCUUGAUCACAUCACCUCCUAAACCUGACCUGGCAUGCUAAGAAGACCACCUUUUUGUACACAGCCCUUUCUGAUUUAUGUUCUAAAAUGUUGGUUUUGGUAAAGAGAGAGAUCUUUAAAGCUGUAAUUCUAUGGCCUAGGUUUUAGGUUACUGUACUUAGUCAGUCAGUAACACACACACACACACACACACAGUCAUACAGGCCCCCUGUACAAACACACUACACAAACUAUUCUCCUACACAAAGACACCCACACAGACUCGCAACACUCAUGCACUCUAUGCUCAUAUAUACUCAGAAACAUGCAAAGACCUACAAUGACCAUCACACUUUGUCCAAUAUCACACCCCAGGAGCCUUUCGACAAACGUGGGUUUAUUCUGGCCACGUCAGGGGAACGAGUGCAGCACUUUUCUCUCUGUGACAAGGGGUGGGAGUGUGUGUCGUUAUCUCACAAAUUAGCCUGCAGUUGUCCUUUUUCUGGGAGUGCAUUUCAGUUCAGCCACUGACGAUGACUCUUAUUACUCUGGCUGUCACUGACAGUGCAGUGACAAGCCUGAAGAAAAUGAUUUCCACGUCAUCUCAACAAAAUAAUUCAAUGUGAUGACGUUGAAUCAGAGUGGGAAACUGGUUGAAUUUGCAAACAGUAAUCAAUGUGAGGGAAUUUCUGCCUAAAUCCAAUGACAGUGAUUUUUUUGUUGUUGAUUUCACGUUGAAUUCACAUUAGUUGACAACUCCACUAAACGUAAAUCAAAACUAGACGUUGAACUGACAUCUGUGCCCAGUGGGGCAACAAUUCACUGAAACAUGGCUAUUACUACUACACAGAUGUAGAAUCUUAAUUUGAUCAGUCUUUUGUUGCUGAGAAUUGACAAGCACAGCAGGAAAUGCAACCAUUUAGUAUAUUUGAGGUUUAAAAAGGCUUCUAUAAUUUGUUUCCAUUUAGACAUUUCUAACUUGAUUUAUUCAAAAAAUGUGUUUUAUCAACCUUUACAAAAAUGUCCAUUAAUUAUAAUCCACAUAAUAAUUCACAAUGUCCUGUUGCUGGAGGAUGAUUUUCCUGCUGUAGCAAACUGACUAAAAUUAAGAUCCUACAUAUGUAGCACACGGCUCCUGAAAGUUCUGAAUCCUAACUUGAAAUAAAUUUGCGUAACUCAUAGUUUCUGAACUGGGGACCUAUCUCAAUCGACUGAGAGUCAUGUAAGCAGGUGGCAUUAUUGGUGCUGUAUACCGGCACAGAUGUUCACCGAAUGCAGACUUUCUCUGUUUCUAAUCCCUUUAAUGCCGAUUUUCACCGCUCUUAGUCUGUCUCCUCCUCUUUGUUAGCUCUUUGCCUUACAUAAAGCUUGUUUACAUUUGACAAACUGGUGGUGGAACAGCCUGGGAGCCUAUAGCGUCAUAAGACAUGUAUUACC